CGCCUAGCCCUAACAGAAAGCUACGCUGGCCCGACUCAACACAUACUGUAUAUAAAGCAUCAGGUCUACUUUGUUGCCUGGUUUCCUACGGAGUCCAAUCAAUGAUGGUGCAUCCCAGGACCAAUAAAGCACUCACUAUAACAUGAAAGACAGACAGAUAUG